rnacentral:rRNA from 1 species
UACAGAGGGUGCGAGCGUUAAUCGGAGUUACUGGGCGUAAAGGGCGCGUAGGCGGUUAGAUAAGUGAGAUGUGAAAUCCCUGGGCUUAACCUAGGAGCUGCAUCUUAAACUGUUUGACUGGAGUACUGUAGAGGGUAGUGGAAUUUCCGGUGUAGCGGUGAAAUGCGUAGAGAUCGGAAGGAACACCAGUGGCGAAGGCGGCUACCUGGACAGAUACUGACGCUGAGGCGCGAGAGCGUGGGGAGCAAACAGG